rnacentral:rRNA from 1 species
AACGAACGCUGGCGGCAGGCUUAACACAUGCAAGUCGAACGCACCGCAAGGUGAGUGGCAGACGGGUGAGUAACACGUGGGGAUCUGCCCAAUGGUACGGAAUAGCUCCGGGAAACUGGAAUUAAUACCGUAUGUGCCCUUCGGGGGAAAGACUUAUCGCCAUUGGAUGAACCCGCGUCGGAUUAGCUAGUUGGUGAGGUAAAGGCUCACCUAGGCGACGAUCCGUAGCUGGUCUGAGAGGAUGAUCAGCCACACUGGGACUGAGACACGGCCCAGACUCCUACGGGAGGCAGCAGUGGGGAAUAUUGGACAAUGGGCGCAAGCCUGAUCCAGCCAUGCCGCGUGAGUGAUGAAGGCCUUAGGGUUGUAAAGCUCUUUCGCCGACGAAGAUAAUGACGGUAGUCGGAGAAGAAGCCCCGGCUAACUUCGUGCCAGCCGCCGCGGUAA